rnacentral:rRNA from 1 species
GGUUAAGUUAGAAAGGGCGCACGGUGAAUGCCUUGGCACUAGGAGCCGAUGAAGGACGGGACUAACACCGAUAUGCUUCGGGGAGCUGUAAGUGAGCUUUGAUCCGGAGAUUUCCGAAUGGGGAAACCCACUGUUCGUAAUGGAACAGUAUCUUUAUCUGAAUACAUAGGAUAUUGAAGGCAGACCCGGGGAACUGAAACAUCUAAGUACCCGGAGGAAGAGAAAGCAAAUGCGAUUUCCUGAGUAGCGGCGAGCGAAACGGAAUUAGCCCAAACCAAGAGGCUUGCCUCUUGGGGUUGUAGGACACUCUAUACGGAGUUACAAAGGAACGAAGUAAAUGAAGCGACCUGGAAAGGUCCGUCGAAGAAGGUAACAACCCUGUAGUUGAAACUUCGUUCCCUCUUGAGUGGAUCCUGAGUACGGCGGAACACGUGAAAUUCCGUCGGAAGCUGGGAGGACCAUCUCCCAAGGCUAAAUACUACCUAGUGACCGAUAGUGAACCAGUACCGUGAGGGAAAGGUGAAAAGCACCCCGGAAGGGGAGUGAAAGAGAUCCUGAAACCGUGUGCCUACAAGUAGUCAGAGCCCGUUAACGGGUGAUGGCGUGCCUUUUGUAGAAUGAACCGGCGAGUUACGAUCCCAUGCAAGGUUAAGCUGAUAAGGCGGAGCCGUAGCGAAAGCGAGUCUGAAUAGGGCGUUUAGUAUGUGGUUGUAGACCCGAAACCAGGUGAUCUACCCAUGUCCAGGGUGAAGUUCAGGUAACACUGAAUGGAGGCCCGAACCCACGCACGUUGAAAAGUGCGGGGAUGAGGUGUGGGUAGCGGAGAAAUUCCAAUCGAACCUGGAGAUAGCUGGUUCUCUCCGAAAUAGCUUUAGGGCUAGCCUCAUGUUGUGAGAGUCUUGGAGGUAGAGCACUGAUUGGACUAGGGGCCCCCAACGGGUUACCGAAUUCAGUCAAACUCCGAAUGCCAAAGACUUAUCCAUGGGAGUCAGACUGCGAGUGAUAAGAUCCGUAGUCAAAAGGGAAACAGCCCAGACCACCAGCUAAGGUCCCCAAGUAUACGUUAAGUGGAAAAGGAUGUGGAGUUGCUUAGACAACCAGGAUGUUGGCUUAGAAGCAGCCACCAUUUAAAGAGUGCGUAAUAGCUCACUGGUCGAGUGACUCUGCGCCGAAAAUGUACCGGGGCUAAACGUAUCACCGAAGCUGUGGAUUGACAUCUUAGAUGUCAGUGGUAGGAGAGCGUUCUAAGUGCAGCGAAGUCAGACCGUAAGGACUGGUGGAGCGCUUAGAAGUGAGAAUGCCGGUAUGAGUAGCGAAAGACAAGUGAGAAUCUUGUCCACCGAAUGCCUAAGGUUUCCUGAGGAAGGCUCGUCCGCUCAGGGUUAGUCGGGACCUAAGCCGAGGCUGAAAAGCGUAGGCGAUGGCCAACAGGUUGAUAUUCCUGUACCACCUCCCCGCCGUUUGAGUAAUGGGGGGACGCAGUAGGAUAGGGUAAGCGCGCUGCUGGAUAUGCGCGUUCAAGCAGUUAGGCUGAUGAGUAGGCAAAUCCGCUCAUCAUAAAGGCUGAGCUGUGAUGACGAGGGAAUUAUAGUACCGAAGUUCCUGAUUCCACACUGCCAAGAAAAGCCUCUAGCGAGGCGGGAGGUGCCCGUACCGCAAACCGACACAGGUAGGCGAGGAGAGAAUCCUAAGGUGAUCGAGAGAACUCUCGUUAAGGAACUCGGCAAAAUGACCCCGUAACUUCGGGAGAAGGGGUGCUCUGGUAGGGUGUAUAGCCCGAGAGAGCCGCAGUGAAUAGGCCCAGGCGACUGUUUAGCAAAAACACAGGUCUCUGCGAAGCCGCAAGGCGAAGUAUAGGGGCUGACGCCUGCCCGGUGCUGGAAGGUUAAGAGGAGGGGUUAUCCUUUGGGAGAAGCUCUGAAUCGAAGCCCCAGUAAACGGCGGCCGUAACUAUAACGGUCCUAAGGUAGCGAAAUUCCUUGUCGGGUAAGUUCCGACCCGCACGAAAGGCGUAACGAUCUGGGCACUGUCUCAACGAGAGACUCGGUGAAAUUAUAGUACCUGUGAAGAUGCAGGUUACCCGCGACAGGACGGAAAGACCCCGUGGAGCUUUACUGUAGCCUGAUAUUGAAUUUUGGUACAGCUUGUACAGGAUAGGUAGGAGCCUGAGAAGCCGGAGCGCUAGCUUCGGUGGAGGCGUCGGUGGGAUACUACCCUGGCUGUAUUGAAAUUCUAACCCGCGGCCCUGAUCGGGCCGGGAGACAGUGUCAGGUGGGCAGUUUGACUGGGGCGGUCGCCUCCUAAAAUGUAACGGAGGCGCCCAAAGGUUCCCUCAGAAUGGUUGGAAAUCAUUCGUAGAGUGUAAAGGCACAAGGGAGCUUGACUGCGAGACCUACAAGUCGAGCAGGGACGAAAGUCGGGCUUAGUGAUCCGGUGGUUCCGCAUGGAAGGGCCAUCGCUCAACGGAUAAAAGCUACCCCGGGGAUAACAGGCUUAUCUCCCCCAAGAGUCCACAUCGACGGGGAGGUUUGGCACCUCGAUGUCGGCUCAUCGCAUCCUGGGGCUGUAGUCGGUCCCAAGGGUUGGGCUGUUCGCCCAUUAAAGCGGUACGCGAGCUGGGUUCAGAACGUCGUGAGACAGUUCGGUCCCUAUCCGUCGUGGGCGUAGGAAAUUUGAGAGGAGCUGUCCUUAGUACGAGAGGACCGGGAUGGACACACCGCUGGUGUACCAGUUGUCUUGCCAAAGGCAUCGCUGGGUAGCUAUGUGUGGACGGGAUAAGUGCUGAAAGCAUCUAAGCAUGAAGCCCCCUCAAGAUGAGAUUUCCCAUAGCGCAAGCUAGUAAGAUCCCUGAAAGAUGAUCAGGUUGAUAGGUCAGAGGUGGAAGCGUGGCGACAUGUGUAGCUGACUGAUACUAAUCGAUCGAGGACUUAACCAA